GCGGAAGUGGCGGAAUUUGGUAGACGCGCUGGGUUCAGGGUCCAGUGAGGGUUCCCUCGUGGGGGUUCGAGUCCCCCCUUCCGCA
rnacentral:tRNA from 2 species